rnacentral:rRNA from 1 species
UACGUAGGGUGCGAGCGUUAAUCGGAAUUACUGGGCGUAAAGCGUGCGCAGGCGGUUUUGUAAGCCAGAUGUGAAAUCCCCGGGCUUAACCUGGGAAUGGCAUUUGGGACUGCAAGGCUUGAGUGUGGCAGAGGAGACUGGAAUUCCUGGUGUAGCAGUGAAAUGCGUAGAUAUCAGGAGGAACACCGAUGGCGAAGGCAGGUCUCUGGGCUAACACUGACGCUCAUGCACGAAAGCGUGGAGAGCAAACAGG